rnacentral:rRNA from 1 species
UGGGGAAUAUUGCACAAUGGGGGAAGCCCUGAUGCAGCGACGCCGCGUGAAGGAAGACGUAUUUCGGUAUGUAAACUUCUAUCAGCAGGGAAGAACACAGACGGUACCUGACUAAGAAGCCCCGGCUAACUACGUGCCAGCAGCCGCGGUAAUACGUAGGGGGCAAGCGUUAUCCGGAUUUACUGGGUGUAAAGGGGGCGCAGACGGCCAUGGCAAGCCCGGUGUGAAAGGCAGGGGCAUAACCCCUGGACUGCACUGGGAACUGCCGGGCUGGAGUGCCGGAGGGGUAAGCGGAAUUCCUGGUGUAGCGGUGAAAUGCGUAGAUAUCAGGAGGAACACCGGCGGCGAAGGCGGCUUACUGGACGGCAACUGACGUUGAGGCCCGAAAGCGUGGGGAGCGAACAGGAUUAGAUACC